UCUCUCCAGAGGAGCCUGGAACAAAUCUGAAAGGAGGGAAUGCAGAACAAGCUAAGGCAUAACAAGGAUUUGGAUUUCAUGUACAGCACCUAGUUGUAGGUCUCUAGGGGUUUGCUUCUGUUGCAUCCGCAUUGUGCAGCCUAGGAGGACUCCAUCUCCUCAAGGGAGAGUCACAACCUUCAUUCACAUCCUAACUCCAUUUUGGAAUCAGAGCUGGGUACACAUCCUUCUCCUUCCACCUCUCU